AUGAUGCCUCUUGUAGCUGGGACAGUCACAAGAGCAAGCAACACUCCCUUUUCAGGCUGCUUCAAAGCUGGUUUUAUUCUAGCAGGCUUUUUCUACAUUCUUACAAAAUUCAUAAAUUUACAUUUCGCUCAUUGGUCAGGAAAGACAAAGAAAGGAAUAUUGGAAUAGGUUUUUGUUAUUUAUCCUUCUUUCUUUCUUGGUUUCUAUGUUGUCAGCCUUGACAGGAAAUUCUUUCAGGUGUAAACAUGGAUCCUCUCAUCAAAUUUCUCUCUGCUCACAGAAUUUACUGUAAAACCUCUUCCACAGGUGCCUUUUUGGGCUAUGACAAGAGCCCUGUGAGGAUGAUGCCUCUUGUAGCUGGGACAGUCACAAGAGCAAACACUCCCUUUUCAGGCUGCUUCAAAGCUGCUUUUAUUCUAGCAUGCUUUUGUACAUUCCUACAAAACUCUUAAGUUUUCACUUUACUCAUUGGUCAGGAAAGACAAAAAAAGGAAUAUUGGAAUAGGCUGUUGCAGGUUUCUCAUAUUUAUCCUUCUUUCUUUCUUGGUUUCUAUGUUGUCAGCCUUGGCAGGAAACUCUUUAAGGUGUAAACAUGGAUCCUCUCAUCAAACUUCUCUCUGCUCACAAAAUUCACUGUAAAACCUCUCCCACAGAUUGGGCUACCUAACAACAGAGGCCAGACAAAACUAAGGGAAUAAAAGCAAUUCUAUUUAUUGAAGGGCCUUCAGGUACAUUUUGGCCUACACGCAAAAAAUGGAUGAUGGGUCGCAGGUUUUUACACUUUUUGCAUAUUGAGGGUUAAUGUUCCAAUUCCAGCUUUAGGUAAUGAAGUCAUUUACCCCAAGUUUGUUUCUCUCAAUUCACUUUUGUUUGUAUUUUUCAAGGCUUAAGGCAGUGAGGUGUCCUUAAUUCCCAGGCCUGGAGAAGAAUUGUUGUGUCUGACCAAAAUGGGAAAGCUGCAGUUAGCAUUGUAUAUGGAAUUUAGAGUUAUACACCAAAGAAUCGCAGGAUUACAACUAUAGAAAAAAUAUAAAAUA